UGCAGUCNANGGAACUUUUCGGAGUUCAGUGGCGGACGGGUGAGUAAUGCGUGAGAAUCUGGCUUCAGGUUCGGGACAACCAUUGGAAACGAUGGCUAAUACCGAAUGUGCCGCAGGGUGAAAGAUUAAUCGCCUGAAGAUGAGCUCGCGUCUGAUUAGCUAGUUGGUGGGGUAAGAGCCUACCAAGGCGACGAUCAGUAACUGGUCUGAGAGGAUGACCAGUCACACUGGGACUGAGACACGGCCCAGACUCCUACGGGAGGCAGCAGUGGGGAAUUUUCCGCAAUGGGCGAAAGCCUGACGGAGCAAUACCGCGUGAGGGAGGAAGGCUCUAGGGUUGUAAACCUCUUUUCUCAGGGAAGAACAAAAUGACGGUACCUGAGGAAUAAGCAUCGGCUAACUCCGUGCCAGCAGCCGCGGUAAUACGGAGGAUGCAAGCGUUAUCCGGAUUUAUUGGGCGUAAAGCGUCCGCAGGUGGCAGUUCAAGUCUGCUGUUAAAGGUCGGGGCUCAACCCUGAACAGGCAGUGGAAACUGAACAGCUAGAGUACGGUAGGGGCAGAGGGAAUUCCCAGUGUAGCGGUGAAAUGCGUAGAGAUUGGGAAGAACACCGGUGGCGAAAGCGCUCUGCUAGGCCGAAACUGACACUCAUGGACGAAAGCUAGGGGAGCGAAUGGGAUUAGAUACCCCAGUAGUCCUAGCCGUAAACGAUGGAUACUNNCGUUGUGAGUAUCGACCCUCACAGUGUCGUAGCUAACGCGGUAAGUAUCCCGCCUGGGGAGUACGCGCGCAAGCGUGAAACUCAAAGGAUUGACGG
rnacentral:rRNA from 1 species